UAUUGGGCGUAAGCGCGCGCAGGUGGUUUCUUAAGUCUGAUGUGAAAGCCCACGCCCUUACCGUGGAGGGUCAUUGGAAACUGGGAGACUUGAGUGCCCUAGAAGAAAGUGGAAUUCCAUGUGUAGCGGUGAAAUGCGUAGAGAUAUGGAGGAACACCAGUGGCGAAGGCGACCCUCUGGUCUGUAACUGACACUGAGGCGCGAAAGCGUGGGGAGCAAACAGGAUUAGAUACCCUGGUAGUCCACGCCGUAAACGAUGAGUGCUAAGUGUUAGAGGGUUUCCGCCCUUUAGUGCUGAACUUAACGCAUUA
rnacentral:rRNA from 1 species